rnacentral:rRNA from 1 species
CAGCAGCCGCGGUAAUACGUAGGUGGCAAGCGUUGUCCGGAAUUAUUGGGCGUAAAGGGCUCGCAGGCGGUUUCUUAAGACUGAUGUGAAAGCCCCCGGCUCAACCGGGGAGGGUCAUUGGAAACUGGGAAACUUGAGUGCAGAAGAGGAGAGUGGAAUUCCACGUGUAGCGGUGAAAUGCGUAGAGAUGUGGAGGAACACCAGUGGCGAAGGCGACUCUCUGGUCUGUAACUAACGCUGAGGAGCGAAAGCGUGGGGAGCGAACAGGAUUAGAUACCCCCGUAGUCCCUGUCUCUUAUAC